rnacentral:rRNA from 1 species
AACGCUAGCUACAGGCUUAACACAUGCAAGUCGAGGGGCAGCGCAGUGUAGCAAUACAUGGGCGGCGACCGGCGCACGGGUGCGUAACGCGUAUCCAACCUUCCCGUUACUCAGGGAUAGCCUUCCGAAAGGGAGAUUAAUACCUGAUGGUGUUCAAAUUCCGCAUGUUAUUUGAACUAAAGAUUUAUCGGUAACGGAUGGGGAUGCGUGACAUUAGAUAGUAGGCGGGGUAACGGCCCACCUAGUCUACGAUGUCUAGGGGUUCUGAGAGGAAGGUCCCCCACACUGGAACUGAGACACGGUCCAGACUCCUACGGGAGGCAGCAGUGAGGAAUAUUGGUCAAUGGUCGGAAGACUGAACCAGCCAAGUAGCGUGGAGGAUGAAGGUUCUAUGGAUUGUAAACUUCUUUUAUACGGGAAUAAAACCUCCCACGUGUGGGAGCUUGUAUGUACCGUAUGAAUAAGCAUCGGCUAACUCCGUGCCAGCAGCCGCGGUAAUACGGAGGAUGCGAGCGUUAUCCGGAUUUAUUGGGUUUAAAGGGAGCGUAGGCGGGCUGUUAAGUCAGCGGUAAAAUUUCCAGGCCCAACCUGGUCGUGCCGUUGAAACUGGCGGUCUUGAAUGCACACAAGGGAGAUGGAAUUCGUCGUGUAGCGGUGAAAUGCUUAGAUAUGACGAAGAACUCCGAUUGCGAAGGCAGUCUCCUGGGGUGCUAUUGACGCUGAGGCUCGAAAGUGCGGGUAUCAAACAGGAUUAGAUACCCUGGUAGUCCGCACAGUAAACGAUGAAUGCUGGUUCUUGGCGAUAUAUUGUCAGGAACUGAGGAAAACCAUUAAGCAUUCCACCUGGGGAGUACGCCGGCAACGGUGAAACUCAAAGGAAUUGACGGGGGCCCGCACAAGCGGAGGAACAUGUGGUUUAAUUCGAUGAUACGCGAGGAACCUUACCCGGGCUUAAAUUGCACUGGACAGGCUCAGAGAUGGGCCCUUCUUCGGACCAGUGUGAAGGUGCUGCAUGGUUGUCGUCAGCUCGUGCCGUGAGGUGUCGGCUUAAGUGC